GACUUAAGCAUAUCAAUAAGCGGAGGAAAAGAAACCAACAGGGAUUGCCUCAGUAACGGCGAGUGAAGCGGCAACAGCUCAAAUUUGAAAUCUGGCCCUUGUGGUCCGAGUUGUAAUUUGCAGAGGAUGCUUUUGGCGCGGUGCCUUCCGAGUUCCCUGGAACGGGACGCCACAGAGGGUGAGAGCCCCGUCUGGUUGGACACCAAGCCUCUGUAAAGCUCCUUCGACGAGUCGAGUAGUUUGGGAAUGCUGCUCUAAAUGGGAGGUAUAUGUCUUCUAAAGCUAAAUACCGGCCAGAGACCGAUAGCGCACAAGUAGAGUGAUCGAAAGAUGAAAAGCACUUUGAAAAGAGGGUUAAACAGUACGUGAAAUUGUUGAAAGGGAAGCACUUGUGAUCAGACUUGGGCUCGGUAGAUCAUCCAGCGUUCUCGCUGGUGCACUCUACCGGUCCAGGCCAGCAUCAGUUCGUAGCGGGGGAUAAAGGCGGCGGGAACGUGGCUCCCCUGGGAGUGUUAUAGCCCGCCGUGUAAUACCCUGCGUCGGACUGAGGUUCGCGCUUCCGCAAGGAUGCUGGCGUAAUGGUCACCAGUGACCCGUCUU
rnacentral:rRNA from 1 species